ACACUGCCCUUUCACGGCUGUAACAGGGGUUCGAAUCCCCUUGGGG
rnacentral:tRNA from 2 species